rnacentral:rRNA from 1 species
AUGGGAGACUGGAUGGUAUAUUAUGGGCUAAACCAGGACAAACUUGCACUGAUUGGACGUUUCCCUAAGACGCUAUUUACCGGAGGGCUGGCAAAUCGAGCGGCAGAUAUCCAGGUCGGGGGCCACGUGUUGACCUCCAUGAAUAACCUGGCUCCGAUGGGCAGUGGCUAUCUCCCCAUAUUUAAUGCGAUGUCAUCUGCGUCCAUGAGCAAUGUCCAGUUUAUCGACCAGAACGGGCAUGCCUUGCCGAUGAAUCAAAUCUCACUCACGUACAUCACCGACUCGAAUAUCUACGCCGUUGGUCCCAUUGUGAAUGGGCAAUUUUUCUAUGGGGGACCAUUUCAGUUGUCCACUUGA